rnacentral:lncRNA from 10 species
GGUUAAGGUACCAAAAAUGCAACAUCCUGAAAUAAGGAGGUGUUCAAACAAUCCAGGUGGCGUCUUCAUUACUUGGGGACCAGAUGUGCUGUGACAAUUGUGCUCAGUGAUUGAAGUGACACCCAGGUCAUAUAUACCCAGGGUGGAGGGGUUCUGGGGUCCUUCAUUUGAAGUGUGAUAUGGGACAAGAGCAGAGGAGACUCCAUCCACCCUAGCCAGCUUUCCUGAGACUUGAGGACCAACUUGACAUGAAUCCUAGGCUUCUGCUUAUCUUUGAUGCCUCACUAAAGCUCAUGCCUAUAAUCCCAGCAUUUUGGGAGGCCGAGGCGGUGGAGCACAAGGUCAGGAGUUCGAGACCAGCCUGAUCAACAUGGUAACAUCUCAGCUGUUUAGAAUUAUCUGCUUCAUGGGCCAAGGAGCUUUGGAUUUUAGUUGUAUUCUUUCCUACUAUGGAUUAUUUAUGGUCUAAUCAGCACAUUUUGAUUAUCCGGCUUUUAAGCCUCUCCAACUGUUGCUUUAUUAGGGAAUAUCAUCUGGGUGCAAAAGGGUUAACAUCUCCAAUGCCUUGCUGCUUCUUCUGUAGGACCUUGAAGAGAUCAGUUUACCAUUUUUAGGCCAUUUUUGUGACACAGAAAAGAAAUAUCUGAGGCUGGGUAGUUUCCAAAGAGAAGAGGUUAUAUUGGCUCACAGUUCAGCAGGCUGUAUCACCAUGGCACCAACGUCUUCUGGGCUUCUGGUAAGAGUCUCACUAAGCUUUCAUUCACGGCAGAAGGCAAAGACAGAAGCCAGCACAUUACCUGGCGAGAUAGAGCAAGAGAGUAAGUGGGGAGGUGUCAUACACUUUUAAACAACCAGAUAUCAUGUAAACUAACUGAAUAAGAUCUCACUUAUCACCCAGGGGAUGGUGCUAAACCACUCAUUAGGGAUCCACUCCAUUAUUCAAUCAUCUCCUACCAUGCCCCACAUUCAACACUGG